rnacentral:rRNA from 1 species
GAUGAACGCUGGCGGCGUGCCUAAUACAUGCAAGUCGAGCGAACAGAUGAGGAGCUUGCUCCUCUGACGUUAGCGGCGGACGGGUGAGUAACACGUGGAUAACCUACCUAUAAGACUAGGAUAACUUCGGGAAACCGGAGCUAAUACCGGAUAAUAUAUUGAACCGCAUGGUUCAAUAGUGAAAGACGGUUUUGCUGUCACUUAUAGAUGGAUCCGCGCCGCAUUAGCUAGUUGGUAAGGUAACGGCUUACCAAGGCAACGAUGCGGAGCCGACCUGAGAGGGUGAUCGGCCACACUGGAACUGAGACACGGUCCAGACUGCUACGGGAGGCAGCAGUAGGGAAUCUUCCGCAAUGGGCGAAAGCCUGACGGAGCAACGCCGCGUGAGUGAUGAAGGUCUUCGGAUCGUAAAACUCUGUUAUUAGGGAAGAACAAAUGUGUAAGUAACUAUGCACGUCUUGACGGUACCUAAUCAGAAAGCCACGGCUAACUACGUG